GGGGGGGGGGGGGGGGGGGGGGGGGGGGGGGGGGGGGGGGGGGGGGGGGGGGGGGGGGGGGGGGGGGGGUCCUCUCCUCUCCUCCAUCACAAUAAAGUCCAAAUCCCAGGAUCAGCUCUGACCAGAAACGCAGCGUCCUUGGGCUGUGAAAAACUUCUGCAGAAACAGCGAGUUCAGCUCGCUGGCUGCUGAGUUUUGUCUGAACACGGAGGCUGAAUACCAGCAGAAUAGUUUGUUUUAUUUCCAGCUUGCCUGAAACCAGAGAUUCCUGGGAGGUUUCCAAGCCAGUCGCUGAACCCAACUGGAUUUUGAUUGCUCUGUCGCCUGUCAACCUGAAAUUCUGGAGCUGCUCUGUCCCUGCAGGACUUUGGGUGUCCCAGCUCCCUCUCCCGGCAUCCCAGUGACCUUUUCACAAUCUCUGUGCCAGGCUGGGCUCCAGGCAGUGAGUGGCUGGAAAUCCUGCCCAGGGCACCGAGCAGGAGUUCCUGGGAUCUGGGGAGCUGGGCCAGGGCUCUCCAUCUGCUCCAGCCCCGCUGCCAAGUUCAACUUCUGCGCUGCAGAUCGCACAAAGGGGAGAAAAGAAAAGGAAAAAAAAAAAAAUA
rnacentral:lncRNA from 1 species